UACAGAGGUCCCAAGCGUUGUUCGGAUUCACUGGGCGUAAAGGGUGCGUAGGUGGUGAGGUAAGUCGGAUGUGAAAUCUCCGAGCUCAACUCGGAAAAUGCAUUGGAAACUACCUUGCUAGAGGGUUGGAGGGGGAACUGGAAUACUUGGUGUAGCAGUGAAAUGCGUAGAUAUCAAGUGGAACACCAGUGGCGAAGGCGAGUCCCUGGACAACACCUGACACUGAGGCACGAAAGCUAGGGGAGCAAACAGG
rnacentral:rRNA from 1 species